AAAUUGAAGAGUUUGAUCAUGGCUCAGAUUGAACGCUGGCGGCAGGCCUAACACAUGCAAGUCGAACGGUAACAGGAAGCAGCUUGCUGCUUCGCUGACGAGUGGCGGACGGGUGAGUAAUGUCUGGGAAACUGCCUGAUGGAGGGGGAUAACUACUGGAAACGGUAGCUAAUACCGCAUAAUGUCGCAAGACCAAAGAGGGGGACCUUCGGGCCUCUUGCCAUCGGAUGUGCCCAGAUGGGAUUAGCUUGUUGGUGGGGUAACGGCUCACCAAGGCGACGAUCCUUAGCUGGUCUGAGAGGAUGACCAGCCACACUGGAACUGAGACACGGUCCAGACUCCUACGGGAGGCAGCAGUGGGGAAUAUUGCACAAUGGGCGCAAGCCUGAUGCAGCCAUGCCGCGUGUAUGAAGAAGGCCUUCGGGUUGUAAAGUACUUUCAGCGGGGAGGAAGGGAGUAAAGUUAAUACCUUUGCUCAUUGACGUUACCCGCAGAAGAAGCACCGGCUAACUCCGUGCCAGCAGCCGCGGUAAUACGGAGGGUGCAAGCGUUAAUCGGAAUUACUGGGCGUAAAGCGCACGCAGGCGGUUUGUUAAGUCAGAUGUGAAAUCCCCGGGCUCAACCUGGGAACUGCAUCUGAUACUGGCAAGCUUGAGUCUCGUAGAGGGGGGUAGAAUUCCAGGUGUAGCGGUGAAAUGCGUAGAGAUCUGGAGGAAUACCGGUGGCGAAGGCGGCCCCCUGGACGAAGACUGACGCUCAGGUGCGAAAGCGUGGGGAGCAAACAGGAUUAGAUACCCUGGUAGUCCACGCCGUAAACGAUGUCGACUUGGAGGUUGUGCCCUUGAGGCGUGGCUUCCGGAGCUAACGCGUUAAGUCGACCGCCUGGGGAGUACGGCCGCAAGGUUAAAACUCAAAUGAAUUGACGGGGGCCCGCACAAGCGGUGGAGCAUGUGGUUUAAUUCGAUGCAACGCGAAGAACCUUACCUGGUCUUGACAUCCACGGAAGUUUUCAGAGAUGAGAAUGUGCCUUCGGGAACCGUGAGACAGGUGCUGCAUGGCUGUCGUCAGCUCGUGUUGUGAAAUGUUGGGUUAAGUCCCGCAACGAGCGCAACCCUUAUCCUUUGUUGCCAGCGGUCCGGCCGGGAACUCAAAGGAGACUGCCAGUGAUAAACUGGAGGAAGGUGGGGAUGACGUCAAGUCAUCAUGGCCCUUACGACCAGGGCUACACACGUGCUACAAUGGCGCAUACAAAGAGAAGCGACCUCGCGAGAGCAAGCGGACCUCAUAAAGUGCGUCGUAGUCCGGAUUGGAGUCUGCAACUCGACUCCAUGAAGUCGGAAUCGCUAGUAAUCGUGGAUCAGAAUGCCACGGUGAAUACGUUCCCGGGCCUUGUACACACCGCCCGUCACACCAUGGGAGUGGGUUGCAAAAGAAGUAGGUAGCUUAACCUUCGGGAGGGCGCUUACCACUUUGUGAUUCAUGACUGGGGUGAAGUCGUAACAAGGUAACCGUAGGGGAACCUGCGGUUGGAUCACCUCCUUACCUUAAAGAAGC
rnacentral:rRNA from 1 species